ACACCGUUGGUGAAGUGGUUAUCAUGCUUGCCUUCCAUGCUCGCAGUCCUUCAUGUCCUCAAGCAAGCGGCUCGGGUUCGAUUCCCGAACGGUGUA